rnacentral:rRNA from 1 species
AACGGCCGUACCAUGCUGAAUAUACCGGUUCUCGUUUAGAUCACGAAGUCAAGCAUCAUUGGGCGUGGUCAGUACUUGGGUGGGUGACCACCUGGGAACACCGCGUGCCGUU